GGUGAAAGGCCAAUCAAACUCGGAGAUAGCUGGUUCUCCGCGAAAGCUAUUUAGGUAGCGCGUCGCGUAUUACCGCCGGGGGUAGAGCACUGGAUGGGCUAGGGGUCCUACCAGAUUACCAAACCCAACCAAACUCCGAAUGCCGAUGACAACUACUCGGGAGUCAGGCUGCGGGUGAUAAGGUCCGUAGCCAAGAGGGAAAGAGCCCAGAUCGACAGCUAAGGUCCCCAAGUCUGCGCUAAGUGUGAAAGGAUGUGGGAGCGCCCAGACAGCCAGGAGGUUGGCUUAGAAGCAGC
rnacentral:rRNA from 1 species